UACGGAGGGGGCAAGCGUUAUUCGGAAUUAUUGGGCGUAAAGAGCUCGUAGGCGGUUUGUCGCGUCUGCCGUGAAAGUCCGGGGCUCAACUCCGGAUCUGCGGUGGGUACGGGCAGACUAGAGUGAUGUAGGGGAGACUGGAAUUCCUGGUGUAGCGGUGAAAUGCGCAGAUAUCAGGAGGAACACCGAUGGCGAAGGCAGGUCUCUGGGCAUUAACUGACGCUGAGGAGCGAAAGCAUGGGGAGCGAACAGG
rnacentral:rRNA from 1 species